rnacentral:rRNA from 1 species
UGGGGAAUAUUGCACAAUGGGCGCAAGCCUGAUGCAGCCAUGCCGCGUGUGUGAAGAAGGCCUUCGGGUUGUAAAGCACUUUCAGCGGGGAGGAAGGCGAUAAGGUUAAUAACCUUGUCGAUUGACGUUACCCGCAGAAGAAGCACCGGCUAACUCCGUGCCAGCAGCCGCGGUAAUACGGAGGGUGCAAGCGUUAAUCGGAAUUACUGGGCGUAAAGCGCACGCAGGCGGUCUGUCAAGUCGGAUGUGAAAUCCCCGGGCUCAACCUGGGAAAUGCAUUCGAAACUGGCAGGCUAGAGUCUUGUAGAGGGGGGUAGAAUUCCAGGUGUAGCGGUGAAAUGCGUAGAGAUCUGGAGGAAUACCGGUGGCGAAGGCGGCCCCCUGGACAAAGACUGACGCUCAGGUGCGAAAGCGUGGGGAGCAAACAGG